rnacentral:rRNA from 1 species
AUUGAACGCUGGCGGCAGGCCUAACACAUGCAAGUCGAACGGUAACAGAAAGCAGCUUGCUGCUUUGCUGACGAGUGGCGGACGGGUGAGUAAUGUCUGGGAAACUGCCUGAUGGAGGGGGAUAACUACUGGAAACGGUAGCUAAUACCGCAUAACGUCGCAAGACCAAAGAGGGGGACCUUCGGGCCUCUUGCCAUCGGAUGUGCCCAGAUGGGAUUAGCUAGUAGGUGGGGUAACGGCUCACCUAGGCGACGAUCCCUAGCUGGUCUGAGAGGAUGACCAGCCACACUGGAACUGAGACACGGUCCAGACUCCUCCGGGAGGCAGCAGUGGGGAAUAUUGCACAAUGGGCGCAAGCCUGAUGCAGCCAUGCCGCGUGUAUGAAGAAGGCCUUCGGGUUGUAAAGUACUUUCAGCGGGGAGGAAGGGAGUAAAGUUAAUACCUUUGCUCAUUGACGUUACCCGCAGAAGAAGCACCGGCUAACUCCGUG